UAAUACGGAGGGAGCAAGCGUUACUCGGAAUUAUUGGGCGUAAAGGGCGCGUAGGCGAUUUGGCAAGUCUUGUGUGAAAGCCCACAGCUUAACUGUGGAAGUGCAUAAGAUACUGCUGAAUUUGAGUUCAGGAGAGGAAGGCAGAAUUCCUGGUGUAGCGGUGAAAUGCGUAGAUAUCAGGAGGAAUACCAGUGGCGAAGGCGGCCUUCUGGACUGACACUGACGCUGAGGCGCGAAAGCUAGGGGAGCAAACGGGAUUAGAUACCCCGGUAGUCCUAGCCGUAAACGAUGUACACUUGGUGUGAGCCCUAUUAGGGUUCGUGCCGCAGUUAACGCAGUAAGUGUACCGCCUGGGGAGUACGGUCGCAAGGCUG
rnacentral:rRNA from 1 species